AAAGGGGACUAAACAACACAAAGCUGUGCGCGCCCCUUCAAACUUUUUCACCACAUACGACGUCGCGGGCAAAAUCGUGGAUGCCAAGAUUGUGGGAAAAGAGGAGACAGAGAGGAGAUUGCAGUGCUAUGUUCAUGGUGCUACUCUACAGUUGGCUUCCAACUUCCGACUAUUAGGAUUAAACAACUGCAGCUAUCUCUUGAAGAACUCACUCAGGAUUUAUACCACUAAAGACCGGCGCGGCGUUUUCCGCACACUUUUGGAUUUAAAAAACUCUUGGAGACAUUUGGGGAUUACAAAAUGUGCCGAUCUUGCUUUUUUAACGUCUUUGAACCUGAAACGUCUGAUCUAAAGUCCCGCGGAUCGCAGGGUGCAUGGCAAUGGAUCCUCCUCAGCCUACGAGAUGGAUCUCAGCGGUGUGCAGUCAAUACGUCACUGACCGUCCCUUCCGUCCUGGCUCCGGGUUGCCCGAACCGACCGAGGACAAGGGCUCGCUCCUGGCUCAUCGCACCUACGGAAGUCUCUCCUCGCUCGACGGUGAGCACGGGGAACGAAGGGGGUCCGGGAGGUCGUGACCUUAAUUUUCUCCCGGAGACUGGGUUUAAUUAAGAAGGGUGGAGGUGAAGGGAGGGUGUGUACGCGGGGGGGAGGGGUACCUCCACCAGCUCCUCCUCUUCCUCCACAACUUCCACCUCCACCGUACUCUUCACUCAACUCCAAGACACGCCUCCGAGACCAAGACUGUCUGCUCUAGCCGAGCUCCCCCAGCCGCCCACUCCAGAGUCAACGUUGGGAGAGGACCACCUUGUAGGGAUUUUCCUCUUCAGCAGAUGAGUGCUGACCAUCACAAAGGGAAUAUGGACUACAACCUACAUCCUGAUGACGUCGCUUUGACCUUCGUUACACUGGCUCCUUCUGACCCCCAUGAACAGGACAUGCAUCCAACUUGAUCUACUUCAGAUCUAUUUGAAGUCCUUUCACUUAUAGACGAUAAGUGAACGAUUAUUUGAGCUUCUAUAAGAGUACACAAGCUCGUAUCACAGUAUAAAUUUGCUUCUUGUGUCAAAGUACUUGGCUCCCUGAAUGGUCAUGUGAUCCACUUGUGUUCCUGGAGUAUGCAAAUGAAAUUCCUUCGAGCUGAUUCGAUAUGGAAGUUUUGGUGAUGGUCAUCUCUCGACACACACACAGGCUAUCACAGGGAAGUGGGGAGGAAUUAAACUAUCCAAUUAGAGACCGGGGUUGAUGAUUAGGGGGCCAUGUGGGUUCAAGAGCGGGGUUAAGUUCCUAACAAGCUGGUCAUGAGGGCUUGCCCUGUUGUUGGCCUUGACUUGGACAGUCUGGAGGAGAGUGGCCACCGGUUCCAUGAGAGGAGGACAGCCCUUCACAUACUCCUCCUCCUCUCUUGGAAGGAUGAGGAGGAGCAGCUGCAGCCAACAGACUCAUCCCACCAGGGGGCAAGAUAGAAACAUCUUGGGGGGGCCCCGCUGUAUCGGCAGGCUGUUCGUCGGGACUGACCGCAGCACCAGCCAUCGACGACCCAUUAGGAAAAUUGAAGAUUUACGUUUGGCUUAAAAUAUUGCAGCUCGGAAUGUUCCACGGCAUAAUUCUGAAAAUUAGUGUAUUUCUAUGUUUAUGUAUGAGUGCUUAUGUGAGUGCUUAGUAUUCAAACUAAGCAACAAAGUACAUGGAAUACAUUUGUAUGAAUUAUUGAAUAAAAGAAG
ensembl:lncRNA